UACGUAGGGGGCAAGCGUUAUCCGGAUUUACUGGGUGUAAAGGGUGCGUAGGUGGCAUGGUAAGUCAGAUGUGAAAACUUGGGGCUCAACUUCAAGAUUGCAUCUGAAACUGCUAAGCUAGAGUGCAGGAGAGGAAAGUGGAAUUCCGAGUGUAGCGGUGAAAUGCGUAGAGAUUCGGAGGAACACCAGUAGCGAAGGCGACUUUCUGGACUGUAACUGACACUGAGGCACGAAAGCGUGGGGAGCGAACAGG
rnacentral:rRNA from 1 species